AUUGAACGCUGGCGGCAGGCCUAACACAUGCAUGUCGAGCGGAGCGGCGUCAGGGGUAGAAAUGCCUAGGAAUCGGCAUGGGAGGGGUGGAUAACGUCAGGAAACGGGCGCUAAUGCCACCUCCUAACAGAUGACCCAAGGACGGAUUAGCUAGUUGGUCAGGUAAAGGCCUAACAAGGCGCCGAACCGUAACUGGUCUGAGAGGAUGAUCAGUCACACUGUAACUGCGUCACGGUCCAGAUUCCUACGGGAGGCAGCAGUGGGGAAUAUUGCACAAUGGGCGAAAGCCUGAUCCAGCCAUGCCGCGUGUGUGAAGAAGGUCUUCGGAUUGUAAAGCACUUUUAGUUGGGAGGCGUUACCAACAGAAUAAGCACCGGCUAACUUCGUGCAAGCCGCCGCGGUAAUUC
rnacentral:rRNA from 1 species